CAUGUACUUCCUUCGUUCGGAAUUACUUAUCACAGAAAUAGAUGUAUCUAGACGUAUUUUCGUUCUAUAUACAUUUAUUUUUAUCCAUUUUUACGACAAGUAAUUCGAGAAGAAGGGAGUAUUUC
rfam:Hordeum vulgare subsp. vulgare, WGS project CAJW01000000 data, contig: morex_contig_1566842